rnacentral:rRNA from 1 species
GACGAACGCUGGCGGCGUGCUUAACACAUGCAAGUCGAGCGGAGCGGCGGACGGGUGAGUAACACGUGGAUAACUACCUAUAAGACUGGGAUAACUUCGGGAAACCGGAGCUAAUACCGGAUAGUGGGGGAUGACUCGCGUCCUAUCAGCUUGUUGGUGGGGUAGUGGCCUACCAAGGCGACGACGGGUAGCCGGCCUGGGAGGGCGACCGGCCACAUUGGGCUGAGAUACGGCCCAAACUCCUACGGGAGGCAGCAGUGGGGAAUAUUGCACAAUGGGGGAAACCCUGAUGCAGCAACGCGCGUGCGGGAUGACGGCCUUCGUGUUGUAAACCGCUUUCAGCCAUGACGCGGUAGUGGCAGAAGAAGCACCGGCUAACUACGUGCCAGCAGCCGCGGUAAUUC